rnacentral:rRNA from 1 species
UACGUAGGUGGCAAGCGUUAUCCGGAAUUAUUGGGCGUAAAGAGCGCGCAGGUGGUUGAUUAAGUCUGAUGUGAAAGCCCACGGCUUAACCGUGGAGGGUCAUUGGAAACUGGUCGACUUGAGUGCAGAAGAGGAAAGUGGAAUUCCAUGUGUAGCGGUGAAAUGCGUAGAUAUAUGGAGGAACACCAGUGGCGAAGGCGGCUUGCUGGGCUCUAACUGACGCUGAGGCUCGAAAGUGUGGGGAGCGAACAGGAUUAGA